GCUGAAGACAGACUGGCUGGAGGAGCGUGUGGAGACCAGAGACACGUUAGGCCAGUCUCGUGGAAGAGCCAGAAAGGGCACCCUGACGACAGCCGCCAACCCGGUGAAGAUUUGAGUUGCCUUUUGCCCCCUCCCUUUUCCCCCUGCACCUUUUUAUAAAUAAAUGACAUAAGUUGAUUUCACCGCAA